CAAUAGCGUAUAUUAAAGUUGUUGCAGUUAAAAAGCUCGUAGUUGGAUUUCUGGCUGGGCGCCGAUGUGACACAAAGUGCUCACAAGGCACCGGCCAUCCUUCUGUAAACUAGGUUAGUCUUUGAUUAGACUGCUUAGGGAUCAGAUAAUUUACCUUGAGAAAAUUAGAGUGUUUCAGGCAGGCUUAGCCGGAAUACAUUAGCAUGGAAUAAUGGAAUAGGACUAUGGUCUCGUUGUUGGUUUGAGGGAUCGCAGUAAUGAUUAAUAGGGAUAGUGGGGGGCAUUAGUAUUUAUUAGCUAGAGGUGGAAUUCUCUAAUUUAAUAAAGACUAACUUAUGCGAAAGCAUUUGCCAAGGAUGUUUUCAUUAA
rnacentral:rRNA from 1 species